rnacentral:rRNA from 1 species
CAGUAGCCGCGGUAACACGGAGGGUGCGAGCGUUAAUCGGAAUUACUGGGCGUAAAGCGUACGCAGGCGGUUUGUUAAGUCAGAUGUGAAGUCCCCGAGCUUAACUCGGGAACUGCAUUUGAAACUGGCAGGCUAGAGUCUCGUAGAGGGGGGUAGAAUUCCAGGUGUAGCGGUGAAAUGCGUAGAGAUCUGGAGGAAUACCGGUGGCGAAGGCGGCCCCCUGGACGAAGACUGACGCUCAGGUACGAAAGCGUGGGGAGCAAACAGGAUUAGAUACCCCAGUAGUCCCUGUCUCUUAUAC